rnacentral:miRNA from 1 species
UUGGUUUGAAGGGAGCUCUAC